ACGCUUAUACCAGGCCGUCGGCGGUAGUGCCGUACACCCCGCACGAGUAGGAGGGACGCCGUGGUGAGCAACGAAGCGAUGGCCGCGAGGCCACGCGGAGCCGCCACGGGCGCAGAUCUUGGUGGUAGUAGCAAAUACUCAAGUGAGAGCCUUGAGGGCCGAGUUGUGGAGAAGGGUUCCAUGUGAACAGCUGUUGCACAUGGGUCAGUCGAUCCUAAGUUCUAGGGAAGUUCCGCUCUGAGCGGCGACGCGAGCCCGCCUCGUGUGGGUUAGCGUCCCCUGGACGAAAGGGAAUCGGGUCAAUAUUCCCGAACCUGAAGGCGGAGCCCGCCACCUCUUUGGUGGUCAGAGCUGCAAAGCUAUGGAGCCCGGAGACGCUGGCCGGAGCCCUGGGAAGAGUUGUCUUUUCUUUGUAAGGGGCGGGUUUCCAUGAAACCGACUGGAUCGGAGUUAUGGACCGCGGCCCCGUAGAGCGCCGCGUCUGGAGCGGCGUCCAGUGUUGCACUGGCCGGCCCUUGAAAAUCCGGGGGACGAGCGUGGACUCUCGCCUCAGGUCGUACCCAUACCCGCAGCAGGUCUCCAAGGUGAACAGCCUCUGGUUAAUAGAACAAUGUAGGUAAGGGAAGUCGGCAAGCCGGAUCCGUAACUUCGGGAAAAGGAUUGGCUCUGAGGACUGGGUCGGUCGGGCCGAGGCUGGAAGCAGGCACGGACCCUAAGCGUGACUGGGCGAGUCGGUCGAGGUGGGGCUUCGCGGCUCUACCGAGACUAGCGAGCCCGGACGUUGCACUGGGUCCGGCUCGUGGACCGUCUUGGCUGCGCGGCAGCCUCGGUGCUGUCGCCUCGGCCGGCGCCAAACAGCCGGCUCAGAACUGGUACGGACCAGGGGAAUCCGACUGUCUAAUUAAAACAGAGCAUUGCGAUGUCCGAAACCCGGGCGUUGACGCAAUGUGAUUUCUGCCCAGUGCUCUGAAUGUCAAAGUGAAGAAAUUCAAUGAAGCGCGGGUAAACGGCGGGAGUAACUAUGACUCUCUUAAGGUAGCCAAAUGCCUCGUCAUUCUAAUUAGUGACGCGCAUGAAUGGAUUAACGAGAUUCCCACUGUCCCUAUCUACU
rnacentral:rRNA from 1 species